UACAGAGGCCCCAAGCGUUACCCGGAAUCACUGGGCGUAAAGGGUGUGUAGGCGGUUAUGUUAGUCCACUGUUAAAGCACCCGGCUCAACCGGGGACCGGCAGUGGAAACGGCAUAACUAGAGGAUGCGAGAGGUCUGUGGAACUCUAGGUGUAGGGGUGAAAUCCGUUGAUAUCUAGGGGAACACCAAAAGCGAAGGCAGCAGACUGGCGCACUCCUGACGCUGAGACACGAAAGCGUAGGUAGCGAACGGG
rnacentral:misc_RNA from 1 species